UGUCUAUAUCACGUUGAAACACCGGUUCUUGUAAGAUCACCGAAGUUAAGCAACGUUGAGCCUGAUCAGUACAUAGAUGGGUGACCGCUUGGGAAUACCAGGUGUGGU
rnacentral:rRNA from 1 species